rnacentral:rRNA from 1 species
AUGAGGGUUUGAUCCUGGCCCAGGAUGAACGCUGGCGGCGUGGAUAAGGCAUGCAAGUCGAACGAACCCUUCGGGGUUAGUGGCGAACGAGUUAGUAACGCCUUGGUACUUACCGUAUAGUCAAGAAUAACUAGCCGAAAGGUUGGCUAAUACUUGAUAGUCUCGAAAGAGUAAAGGAGCAAUUCGCUAUACGAUAGGCCUAGGUCCUAUCAGCUAGUUGGUGAGGUAAUAGCUCACCAAGGCUACGACGGGUAGGGGGAGUGAGAGCUUGACCCCCAACGACGGCACUGAGACACGGGCCGUACACCUACGGGUGGCAGCAGUCGAGAAUAUUCCACAAUGGACGAAAGUCUGAUGGAGCGACGCCGCGUGCAGGAAGAAGGCCUUCGGGUUGUAAACUGCUUUUCUAGGAGAAAAAGUCUGGCCAAUUGUGCUCGCUAACUUCGGUUAGUGGGUGCAAUUGGCUAGAUUGAUGGUACCUUAGGAAUAAGGGGUUGCUAACUUCGUGCCAGCAGCAGCGGUAAUACGAAGACCCCGAGCGUUAUCCGGAUUUAUUGGGCGUAAAGAGAGAGCAGGAGGUUUGGUGCGUCUGUUGUUAAAUCCCACCGCUCAACGGUGGAACUGCAAUGGAUACGAUCAAACUAGAGGAUACUAGAGGUUACUGGAACACACGGUGUAGGGGUGAAAUCCGUUGAUAUCGUGUGGAACACCAAAGGCGAAGGCAUGUAACUGGAGUAUUCCUGACUCUGAGUCUCGAAAGCGUGGGGAGCAAAAAGGAUUAGAUACCCUUGUAGUCCACGCCGUAAAUGAUGUCUACUAGCUAUCGGAAGUAUCGACCCUUUCGGUGGCGAAGCUAACGCGUUAAGUAGACCGCCUGGGAAGUACGAGCGCAAGCUUAAAACUCAAAGGAAUAGACGGGGACUCGCACAAGCGGUGGAUCAUGCGGUUUAAUUCGAUGCUAAACGAAGAACCUCACCAGGGCUAGAAAUCCAAGCGAAGUUCCAGCGAAAGUUGGGAUGUCUCACAAGGACGGUUGGACAGGUGUUGCAUGGCUGUCGUCAGUUCGUNNGGAAUCGCUAGUAAUCGUGAAUCAGCCAUGUCACGGUGAAUACGUUCUCGAGUCCUGUACUCACCGCCCGUCACACCAAGGGAGCUGGUAGCGGAUAGAGUCUCACCUAGCGUGGGAUGAGUUCGAGAUCAGUGACAGGGGUGAAGUCGUAACAAGGCACGCGUAGCGGAAGCUGUG